rnacentral:rRNA from 1 species
GAUGAACGCUAGCUACAGGCUUAACACAUGCAAGUCGAGGGACCGGCGCACGGGUGUGUAACACGUAUCCAACCUGCCCUUUACUCGGGGAUAGCCUUUCGAAAGAAAGAUUAAUACCCGAUAUAAAGGAUGGGGAUGGGUUCCAUUAGGUUGUUGGUGAGGUAACGGCCCACCAAGCCUUCGAUGGAUAGCGGUUCGGAGGGGAAGGUCCACCACAUUGGAACUGAGGCCCGGUCCAAAAUCGUACGGGAGGCAGUAGUAAGGAAUAUUAGUCAAUGGGCGCUAGCCUGGACCUGCCACGUAGCGUGAAGGAUGAAGGCUUAUGGGUCGUAAACUUCUUUUAUACAAGAAUAUGUAUUAUAUGAAUAAGGAUCGGCUAACUCCGUGCCAGCAGCCGCGGUAAUAC